rnacentral:rRNA from 1 species
UCGUACCUUUUGCAUCAUGGUCUAACUAGCAAAAUUAGGCAAAAUGAAAUUUAAGUCUAACCCCCCGAAACUGGGCGAGCUACUUCAAAACAGCCUCAUGGGCUAACCCGUCUCUGUUACAAAAGAGUGGGAAGAUUUUCAAGUAGAGGUGAUACACCUACCGAGCCCAGAGAUAGCUGGUUAUUCAGGAAAAGGAUCAAGUCCAAUUUUAAACCUUCUCACACAUCAAAUAUAACGUUAGCUUUAAAAUUAAUUCAAAUAAGGUACAGCCUAUUUGAAACAGGAUACAACCUAUAUAAUAGGGUAAUGACCAACCUACACGACCAAGUUGGCCUAAAAGCAGCCACCUUUUAUAAAAGCGUCACAGCUUAAUCGUAUAGUAUAGUUAAUCUCUAUAAAACCCCAAAACCCUACACCCCUACUGAAUGACUCUAUAUUUAUAUAGAAAACCUUAUGUUAGAACUAGUAAUAAGAAUUUAUUCUCCUUAAAGCAUGUGUGAGCCGGAAUGAACCACUCACCGGCACUUAUCGUCACGAACAAAUAGUAAUAACUUUACAAGAAAACUUUACUUUCCUAAACGUCAAUCUCACGCUAGGACUUUUCUGGAAGAUUAAAAAAGUAGGAAGGAACUCGGCAAAAAAUAACCCCGCCU